GGAAAAGAAGGAAAAAGCUGUCUUCGCAAGGCGGAGGUCGCGGGUUCAAAUCCAGCCCCGUCCACCA
rnacentral:tRNA from 1 species